CAGCAGCCACGGGAAUACGGAGGGUGCAAGCGUUAAUCGGAAUUACUGGGCGUAAAGCGUGCGCAGGCGGUUAUAUAAGACAGAUGUGAAAUCCCCGGGCUCAACCUGGGAACUGCAUUUGUGACUGUAUAGCUAGAGUACGGCAGAGGGGGAUGGAAUUCCGCGUGUAGCAGUGAAAUGCGUAGAUAUGCGGAGGAACACCGAUGGCGAAGGCAAUCCCCUGGGCCUGUACUGACGCUCAUGCACGAAAGCGUGGGGAGCAAACAGGAUUAGAUACCCCCGUAGUCCCUGUCUCUUAUAC
rnacentral:rRNA from 1 species